GAUGAACGCUGGCGGCGUGCCUAAUACAUGCAAGUCGAACGCACAGCGAAAGGUGCUUGCAUCUUUCAAGUGAGUGGCGAACGGGUGAGUAACACGUGGAUAACCUACCUCAAGGUUGGGGAUAACAUUUGGAAACAGAUGCUAAUACCGAAUAAAACUUCGUAUCGCAUGAUACAAGGUUAAAAGGCGCUACGGCGUCACCUAGAGAUGGAUCCGCGGUGCAUUAGUUAGUUGGUGGGGUAAAGGCCGUACCAAGACAAUGAUGCAUAGCCGAGUUGAGAGACUGAUCGGCCACAUUGGGACUGAGACACGGCCCAAACUCCUACGGGAGGCUGCAGUAGGGAAUCGUUCCACAAUGGGCGAAAGCCCUGAUGGAGCAACGCCGCGUGUGUGAUG
rnacentral:rRNA from 1 species